CAAUAUUUAAAAAAAAAUCCUCUCCCUCAUCCUUUUCAAUCUUUUGAUUGUUUAAGAAAAAGCAAUACGAAAUGGACUCAUAUAUAUAAUAUGUAUAUGUAUAUAAUGUAUAUAUUACCCCCACGUGUCAACUCAAGGGAUCGAAAGAUCCACCGAGACUCUGUUAACCCUUGUGUGACUAUAUUCCCCUUCAACUUGGAACUCGCCGCGAAUCCAAACGCUGAUUGACUUUCCGGCCAACACCAACUCUGUUGUUCACUGAUGGCAUCAUGGCAAUGUGGCUAGAUCAUCAGAAACAAUGGGAUGACGAGGCAGGGAGAUGGGGAAUGUUGGGGUGGGAAAAACAACUAUAUUGAGUACUUUGAAUAACAAAAUGUAUGAAAAUGAUGUGUUUGACGUAGUUAUUUGGACAACUUUUCAAGAAGACAGCAUAAGAAAUCUGCAGCAAGAUUUGCUGAUAAAAUAGAUGAUUUGCCAUCCCUCAAUAAUAUUGUAAAAGAGUUACUGAGAAAUCUGAGAAAUGAAGAUGAGACUUCUGAGAAUUGAAGUAAGGAGAAUUGGCAUUUGGGAAAUGUUAGGGUAUGAAAAACAACUAUAUUUAGUACUUUAUAUUGAGUAUUUUGAAUAACAAAAUGUAUGAAAAUGAAAUGUUUGACAUUGGUAUUUGGACAACUUUGAAGAAGAUACAAGAAAGCUAUAGCAAAGAUAUUGUGGGGCGGUUAAAAACUAAAUGUGGGCUUCCAAUAGCCAGGGGGAGCAAGUUGCUGAUACAAUGUCUAGAGCACUAGAGAAUAUGAAGUACCUACUCAUUCUUGAUCAAAUGGUGUGGGAUUUUGUGUCAUGCUGAUCAAUUAUUGUUAUGUGAGUUAUGCACUUGCAUGGGAUAGGAACUACUUACCUGAUAGAGAGGAAUUGAAGACAAUAGAAAUCAUAAUGCAUGCAUAACAUUUUCAACUUUGUUUUAUUUUAUUUUUUAUUUUUUUUA